rnacentral:tRNA from 1 species
AUCUAAAUAGCUUAAAUUAGAGUGUAACGCUGAAGAUGUUAAGGUGGUUUAUAUACCUUUAGAUA